GAUUAGAUUGUCUUCGUCCCUGUGUCAAGUGUUGUCGCUCUUUUCCCAGUGGUCUCUUGUGUCUUUUGGGGUUUUCUUCCUGGUUUAUUUGGACCUUGCAUGGAUUGUGGACUGCAUAACCCCUGUUGAAAUUGUUUACCUGUGGACUGCUUUUCCUGGUUUGGACAUUGCUUGCACAAUCCAUAUAAGCCCUUGUGUUUUUUUCUUUUUUUCUUUUGUCAUUAAAUCACUGAACUACACUAGCCCUGCCUGUGCAUCUGUAUUUGGGUCCAACCCUGCAUUCCUGGUUCUCCGGCUUGACAAACCACAACAACCUGUUAACAUUAAUGUUUCGUGAAAUGUCUGUAAGAUGUGCUGUUGGAGUUUAUGGAAUGGUCUUACACUAUAUAUUCUCUCCAGAGGGACAUGGGUUAAUUUUGUUUCUCCUGUGUGAUAAGUUUUUACAAGUAACGUUAGAGACAAACAGCUCAGUCAAUCACAAUCAACUGGAGCUGUGUUAAGACAAAUGAGUGUUUCAUUUCAGCUAUCUGGUGUUCCUCCAGCCAAGGGCAUUGAUUGACUUCUGCUAUGCUUUGACUGAUGUUCCAAAGUCUUCAUUAUAAUAAAUGCAGAAUUUGUAUUACAACCAUCCCCUGCAGUCCAGCGCAUUCUACAGGUCACAGAUCAUGAAGCUCUCAUCCAGGGAUCCAUUGAGGAGGCCACAGUGGGAGUGCAGAGUAUCAAAGACCAAGAUACCAGCAUGUAAACCAGUGCACAUCGGGACUGUCUUCAAGAGCAAGAUGGUGUUGCAGAGAACUGCAUUUGCGGCUGCCAUUUUGCUUGAGCCUAAACUAUCCUACUGAACUGAAGUCCACCUUUAAAGCACUCCAGGUUGUCAUACAGCUGGAAAGCAACCCUCCAGGAUCAGUAUCAAAGACUAUCAGUAUGCUGUUACCAAUGUGUAAUGGCGUGACCGACAGGAUGCAGUUUUCCGUGUUCACCAUCUUGGGUAAUGGACAUUAUUGCUCCCUCCAUUGCACUGAUUGUGGACUGUUAAUCAUUCUAAAAGCAUUUACUUAAUCUCACAUGGACUUGGACUGUGUGUAUGAUGCCUCCCUGCUUUUUAAGUAAGUCUUUGUGUUUUUUAUGUUUUUUUUAAAGACAUGUUUCUCUUAUCUUCUACUUGUGGAUGUUUAAUUUUUCUCUCCUGAUAUUGUGCUUGUUCCUUUUGAUAAAACUGCAGUGUUUUUAAUAAAUACUCCUACAAAGACAUUUAAAAGUCCAGUGACACGAUUAAAUGAUGUGAAGUAAGUCAGAACUUGUAUUUGCACCACAUUACUGUGUCAUUAACUAUUGAUCUUGAUUGAAAAAUAUUAGUAUUUAUCAUAAGGCAGAUGUUAAGUACCAACAAUACAUCUAAGUGGUACAAUGUUCUUUGACCAAAUACAAACAUUUUUGUGCAAGAAAUGUAUUUGUUUAUUGCCAUAUUUGCACCUAAACAUGGAACGAUGUCAACAUUUGGAUAGUUGACUAACAAAUAACUUAGAUUUACAGACAUAAUAGGGACAUAAUGAAAUUGCUUUAAAGUUACAUAAUACCUUUUGAAUAAUCUUAGCAUUAAGAAAUCAAGUUUGCGUUGCAGUUGACAAUCAGGUACACUGGACAUGAUGAAAUUACUUUAACAUUACACAAUCAGUUGGUAUUACAGUUACUGACAAUGUUGAAUCAACAUGAUUGAGUCUAAUGUGAAUGGCAUAUCUUGGCAUGACAAGCAAUAAUUAAUUGAGAAAAGGAGGAAAACUGUCAGUUGGCCACAUUCUGAUCAUGCAGGACCGAUGUACACAUUAAUAUCAAGUAAGGGCGGGCAGCGAGGCACCACCACACACUUCUAGUGGGUCAUAAGUGAUGAUUGAUACAAAUAAUACAAAUACAAAUAUUUGUAUUUGUAUUAUUUGUAUGAGUUUAUAUAUUCUUUUUAGGAAAAUCCUACUUAUCCUAACACCCAACCAAUGUUUGCAUUUGGUACUCAGAUACCACAACUGUGAUUAUUUAUUCAUCAAACUCAGUGGAUCAAGAUCCUCUAUCACUCAACUUGAUGUCAUUCUUGUUUAGUUGUUGUUCUUCCACAUCUGCUACAUGAGCAUUCCAGCACAAUUAGCUCUAAUUCUUAUAUGUAGAUAACCUUAUAUUGAUAAAACACCACUGACUACUUUAAAAUCACUUUAUGUAUCUGAAAAAAGAGUGAAUACUGUAUAUAACUAAAGUCAAGAAAAAAUAGCUGUGCAAAUUUGAGAAUUACACUAAGAAUUGGAUUCACUUUAUUCAUCAACUCAAGUAAAUUUUAAAAAACAACUGCAGACAUUUAUGUGCAAUGAAUAGCAACUCCAAUACUGUGCAAAGUAACAAAACAAAACAUGAAAUGUAAAAUAGAUUUAAUAUCUUUACAAGAUGACAACAACAAAUGUCAGUAGUACGAAUAGUCAUUUCAUCUGUAAACGCAAAGGUAAAUUGCUAUUUACAGCUAUCACAAUACACAGCCACACAGGCGUUACUGGAGCUAUGCUGGGAAUCACGUGAAGUCACCUGACUCCAUGUACCAAUAAGAAUGAUAAAGAUGCAAUUUAGUCCCAAGAUGUCAAUCAUGCCCAGUCUGUACACGCCCACACAAUCCUGAGGCACGAUCUAAUCAGCCAAAAUAAGUGAAAUCACCUGUGUGGGUGAGAUUUACAAAGUAAAAUUCAUGACAAAAAUGCAUCGUCAAAACUGAGAAGUAUUCAACCCUCUAAUAUGCAAGCUUCUUUUGAGAUUCUGUUUGCUGGCGUUCAAGAUGCAUUUUGAUGCUAGACACAACCAACAAGUUAAGAAAACAUGAUUGAGUUACUUUAAAAAAAUUUUUUGGCCACUUAGGGGCAGCAGAAACAAGUUGUGAACACAACAUUGACA